ACCUAGUAGUAUGGGAUAGCCACUAGAAAUGGUGGGUAAUACUGUAUAAUCCCUGCGGGGGAAAGAUUUAUCGCUAUUAGAUGAGCCUAUGUUAGAUUAGCUAGUUGGUAGGGUAAAGGCCUACCAAGGCAGUGAUCUAUAGCUGGUCUGAGAGGAUGAUCAGCCACACUGGAACUGAGAUACGGUCCAGACUCCUACGGGAGGCAGCAGUGGGGAAUAUUGGACAAUGGGCGCAAGCCUGAUCCAGCUAUGCCGCGUGAGUGAGGAAGGCCUUAGGGUUGUAAAACUCUUUCAGUGGGGAAGAUAAUGACGGUACCCACAGAAGAAGUCCCGGCAAACUCCGUGCCAGCAGCCGCGGUAAUACGGAGGGGGCAAGCGUUGUUCGGAAUUAUUGGGCGUAAAGGGCAUGUAGGCGGUUCGGUAAGUUAAAGGUGAAAUGCCAGGGCUUAACCCUGGAGCUGCUUUUAAUACUGCCAGACUCGAGUCCGGGAAGAGGAUAGCGAGAUUUUCCUA
rnacentral:rRNA from 1 species